CACGUAGGGCGCAAGCGUUGUCCGGAAUUAUUGGGCGUAAAGAGCUCGUAGGCGGUCUGUUACGUCUGCUGUGAAAACCCAGGGCUUAACCCUGGGCUUGCAGUGGAUACGGGCAGACUAGAGGCAGGUAGGGGAGAAUGGAAUUCCCGGUGUAGCGGUGAAAUGCGCAGAUAUCGGGAGGAACACCGGUGGCGAAGGCGGUUCUCUGGGCCUGACCUGACGCUGAGGAGCGAAAGCGUGGGUAGCGAACAGG
rnacentral:rRNA from 1 species